GGGGAAUUUUCCGCAAUGGGCGCAAGCCUGACGGAGCAACGCCGCGUGAGGGAGGAAUGUCUGUGGAUUGUAAACCUCUUUUCUCUGGGAAGAAGAUCUGACGGUACCAGAGGAAUCAGCAUCGGCUAACUCCGUGCCAGCAGCCGCGGUAAGACGGAGGAUGCAAGCGUUAUCCGGAAUUAUUGGGCGUAAAGCGUCCGUAGGCGGUUAUUUAAGUCAGUUGUUAAAGACUGCAGCUCAACUGUGGGAGAGCAACUGAAACUGAAUGACUAGAGUAUGGUAGGGGUAGAGGGAAUUCCUAGUGUAGCGGUGAAAUGCGUAGAUAUUAGGAAGAACACCAGUGGCGAAGGCGCUCUACUGGGCCAAGACUGACGCUGAUGGACGAAAGCUAGGGGAGCGAAAGGGAUUAGAUACCCCUGUAGUCCUAGCUGUAAACGAUGGAUACUAGGUGUUGUGCGUAUCGACCCGUGCAGUACCGCAGCAAACGCGUUAAGUAUCCCGCCUGGGGAGUACGCACGCAAGUGUGAAACUCAAAGGAAUUGACGGGGGCCCGCACAAGCGGUGGAGUAUGUGGUUUAAUUCGAUGCAACGCGAAGAACCUUACCAGGACUUGACAUCCCCCGAAUUUCUGAGAAAUCAGAAAGUGCCUUCGGGAACGGGGAGACAGGUGGUGCAUGGCUGUCGUCAGCUCGUGUCGUGAGAUGUUGGGUUAAGUCCCGCAACGAGCGCAACCCACGUCUUUAGUUGCCAUCAUUAAGUUGGGCACUCUGGAGAGACUGCCGGGGACAACUCGGAGGAAGGUGUGGACGACGUCAAGUCAUCAUGCCCCUUACGUUCUGGGCUACACACGUACUACAAUGCAACGGACAAAGGGCAGCCAACUAGCGAUAGUGAGCUAAUCCCAUAAACCGUUGCUCAGUUCAGAUUGCAGGCUGCAACUCGCCUGCAUGAAGGAGGAAUCGCUAGUAAUCGCAGGUCAGCAUACUGCGGUGAAUACGUUCCCGGGCCUUGUACACACCGCCCGUCACACCAUGGAAGUUGGCCAUGCCCGAAGUCGUUACCCUAACCGUUCGCGGAGGGGGGCGCCGAAGGCAGGGCUGAUGACUGGGGUGAAGUCGUAACAAGGUAACCGU
rnacentral:rRNA from 1 species